rnacentral:rRNA from 1 species
GGCGAACGCUGGCGGCGUGCUUAACACAUGCAAGUCGAACGGAAAGGCCUGCUUUCCCUUGUGGAUUGCGGGUACUCGAGUGGCGAACGGGUGAGUAACACGUGAGUGAUCUGCCCCCAACUUGGGUAUAAGCCUGGGAAACUGGGUCUAAUUCCCGAUAGGACUGCAGGGUGGUGCCUGUGGUGGAAAGCGAUUUUCUAGUGGUUGGGGAUGAGCUCGCGGCCUAUCAGCUUGUUGGUGGGGUAAUGGCCUACCAAGGCGGCGACGGGUAGCCGGCCUGGGAGGGGGGACGGCCACAUUGGGACUGAGAUACGGCCCAGACUCCUACGGGAGGCAGCAGUGGGGAAUAUUGCACAAUGGGCGGAAGCCUGAUGCAGCGACGCCGCGUGGGGGAUGACGGCCUUCGGGUUGUAAACUCCUUUCGACCGCGAGGAAGCCACCUGGUUGGAAGGGUGGUGACGGUAGUGGUAGAAGAAGCACCGGCUAACUACGUG